UUUGGGGUUUUUUGUUCUGCAAUUGAGGUUUCAAGCCGAAAUCGGUGAAAAUUACAUCUGAAUUGUUACAAUCAAGCAUACAUGGUGUAGUCGUUGACCCUAAUGUUGGAACCGUUUUGUGGUUUUCUGUUUGUAAAGAUCUGGUUGUAGCCGGGUGUUGUAGAUACAAAUGAAGAUGCGGUAGACAUUAGCGGUUUACACGUCCUCAUAUGCAUUCUAUGAGUCUGUUUUCAUUUACAUUCAGAUUAUGUAGUUAGGUUGACUUGUCUUCAACUUUUAGAUUUUUAUCCACACACUAACUCAGGUUUGAUUUUGUUUAGGCUGGCUUUCUGGUUGGAAUCACAAAUAUUGUACCAGUACGUGUCGAAAUACGAAGGUGAUUUGUUGGAAAAAUGUUACUUUGCGGAGCAUAAGCUCGAAUGGGAAGUUAUCGAUGGCGGGCUAAAGAAUAAAAUCGAGAUCGCAUACCCAAUUUCUUUAAGCAGAUUGGGACAAGAAAGGAACAAAUUCAAUGCUUUAGAAGGAAACAGGUUUAGGAGGUUCCCAUGGUAAUAUAAGAGCCAAAGCUGCAGAGGAUGUAAGCACAAUUUUUCAAAACAAUCUAAAAAGUCAGCAAUUGGUUAUGGAUGCAAAUGGCACGAAGCCUUUGCUUUCGAAUUUCACUUAUGAUGAUGAUGUCACCGUUCGGACCAAAGCACUUGGUGCAAUCUUCAGUGAGUAGCUAUUCGAAAGCCUCUGAUUAGGCACGAAGAAGGUCUCGCCUGCUUACGACGCACCGCUACGAAAACCCUCCCUUUCAUUUCCUUCACCACUGUAUUGUUUAAUUUUUUAAUUCAUCUCAGAAGAAGGUUUGAAUAACAAAAAAGCAUCGUUGGAUCAUAAUCUGGAAUUGCGCUUAGGGGAAGUUCAGCCUCAAAUAGGCCAAAAAACAUAGAAUUUGGAAAUAAUCGUCAAGUCAAAUUCAGUCGCCAAUCUAACUCGAUUCAUUUUAGACUUGAUAAGAAAAGUGUUUGCGGGUCAAGAGGACCCAACCCGUUAAUCAACCCACCUUUAUGUAUGGACUACAGAAGGGGAGUCAAAAGUGAAAGAAUACAAAAUAAUCGGAUGGACAAGACGAAUCAUGGAUUAGCCAAGUAAAUGAGCAUAUCUAUAGAGCAUGAAGGAGUUGAUGUUCAAAUAAUAGCGUCGCUGGUGAUGUUACUACUACUGGAGAUAAUUGAAAACAGUUGAUCUCCGCUCGUGAUGUUACUGCGCAUGAGAUAAGUGAAAGAAGUUGAUCCUCAGGUUUAUGUUCAAUGGUCAUGUGCAACUGUUGCAAUGGGUCAAGCUGAUUGAUGCUGCUGAAGCAAGUGUGUUGUCCGGCUCGCCUAGAAGAUAGGUUGUAUGGGAUGGAGGUGGAGGCACAAGAGAGUUCUCAUAUGGGAUAAUGUAUCUAUAUUUAUUUGUUUAUAUCCUACCUUAAAAAAGAGUACAUAUACACACUAUAUGUUAUUUUUUUAAACUCGAUGGCCUAACUUAUUUAUUGUCCUUUGCUU
rnacentral:lncRNA from 1 species